rnacentral:rRNA from 1 species
GACGAACGCUGGCGGCGUGCUUAACACAUGCAAGUCGAACGGGAAGGCCCUGCUUUUGUGGGGUGCUCGAGUGGCGAACGGGUGAGUAACACGUGAGUAACCUGCCCUUGACUUUGGGAUAACUUCAGGAAACUGGGGCUAAUACCGGAUAGGAGCUCCUGCUGCAUGGUGGGGGUUGGAAAGUUUCGGCUGUGGUGGCUGGACUCGCGGCUUAUGCGCUAGUUGGUGGGGUAGUGGCUUACCAAGGCUUUGACGGCUAGCCCGCCUGGGAGGGUAGACACGGACCAGACGCCUGCGGGAGGGACCAGUCGGCAACGGUAGGCAAUGGGCGGAAACAUUGCGCAGCGGGGCCGAGUGUGUGGCGACGGUGCCCCGAUCGUAAAGCCCGCCUACUGGUUAUAAACCGCUGUGGCCUGUGACGUGGCGGGAGUGACGGUACUGGGUAAAGAAGCACCGGCUAACUACGUG